AUACGUAGGGGGCGAGCGUUGUCCGGAAUGAUUGGGCGUAAAGGGCGCGUAGGCGGCCCGGUAAGUCUGGAGUGAAAGUCCUGUUUUUAAGAUGGGAAUUGCUUUGGAUACUGUCGGGCUUGAGUGCAGGAGAGGUAAGUGGAAUUCCCAGUGGAGCGGUGAAAUGCGUAGAGAUUGGGAGGAACACCAGUGGCGAAGGCGACUUACUGGACUGUAACUGACGCUGAGGCGCGAAAGUGUGGGGAGCAAACAGGAUUAGAUACCCUGGUAGUCCACACUGUAAACGAUGAAUGCUAGGUGUAGGGGGUAUCGACCCCUUCUGUGCCGCAGUCAACACAAUAAGCAUUCCGCCUGGGGAGUACGGCCGCAAGGUUGAAACUCAAAUGAAUUGACGGGG
rnacentral:rRNA from 1 species